AACGGCCGUACCAUGCUGAAUAUACCGGUUCUCGUUAGAUCACCGAAGUCAAGCAUCGUUGGGCGCGGUCAGUACUUGGGUGGGUGACCACCUGGGAACACUGCGUGCCGUU
rnacentral:rRNA from 1 species